CGCCGGUGACGUUGUGAGAAGUUCAUUAAACCUUAUCAUUUAGAGGAAGGAGAAGUCGUAACAAGGUUUCCGUAGGUGAACCUGCGGAAGGAUCAUUGCACACACAAGUUGCAGCCAACCCGCGGCGAACGAACACAUUGUCCCCCUCGGCGGGUCGUGGCGCCUCGCGGCGUCGCGGUCGGCCGGCUCCCUUCGUCACGAGCGAGCUCCCUCUCGAGCUCCCUCGCGGCGUCGGGUUUCCACCAUGCAUCCACCCUGACCGAAUGACUGAGUCCCGAACAUACUUCAUCAAGGAGCGAGUUCCGCCGCCUUGGCUUUCGGACCAAGGGGUCGGCGCUGGUUACCUUGCGAGUUGUGGAAACGUAACCAAAACAACUCUCAGCAACGGAUAUCUUGGCUCUUGCAACGAUGAAGAACGCAGCGAAAUGCGAUACGUAGUGUGAAUUGCAGAAUUCCGCGAAUCAUCGAGUCUUUGAACGCAAGUUGCGCCCGAGGCUUGUCCGAGGGCAUUUCCGCUAGAGCGUCACCGCGCCCCCCCACCGAUCCACUCCCCUUGGGAGUUGGGUCGAGUGAAAGUGGCCGUCCCGGUGGUCCUUCGAAGGAAGGUCCGAAGGGUUGGCUGAAAUGGAAGGAAUCGGGCCGCCGUGGUGACACAGUCCGCGAUCGGGUGAUCCGAGCUCCUCCGGGAGCCCGGAAUUUUUCUAAGUGCGUGACUGCGUCCCCCAGUUGGUUGCGGUUACCUCGUGCAGGUCGAGCGCGCCCCCGCGGCGCGCGUCACGCAUCAGACCUCUAAUCGGAAAAGACUACCCGCUGAGUUU
rnacentral:rRNA from 1 species